CCGUCGAUAGCUCAGUUGGUAGAGCGGAGGAGUGUAGAGCCAAGCUGUAAUCCUUAGGUCCCUGGUUCGAAUCCGGGUCGACGGA
rnacentral:tRNA from 1 species